ACCUUCUUUGGUGUAGUUGGUAGCACCUUGGAUUAGUAAUUACAUGUCCCGGAUUCAAGUCCCGGUUGGGGUA